CAUCGUUAUAGAACAUAAUAGUUAAUAACUUUAAUGUAACACACUGUACUUCCAUCAAAUUCAGUUCACACAUCACUGCUCUCCUGGUGGUUAUACUACAACUUUCAUUUUGAAAGUAAUUGCUUUGGCACAUUUUUUAGAAUUUUUAUUAUGAAAAAUAGUUAAUGAAUUCACCAUUAUUGGAUAUAAUAGUUAAUAACUUUACUGUAACACACUGUACUUCCAUCAAAUUCAGUUCACACAUAACUGCUCUCCUGCUGGUUAUACGACAACUUUCAUUUUGAAAGUAAUUGCUUUGGCACAUUUUUUAGAAUUUUUAUUAUGAAAAAUAGUUAAUGAAUUCACCAUUAUUGGAUAUAAUAGUUAAUAACUUUACUGUAACACACUGUACUUCCAUCAAAUUCAGUUCACACAUAACUGC
ensembl:lncRNA